rnacentral:rRNA from 1 species
UACGUAGGGGGCAAGCGUUGUCCGGAUUUAUUGGGCGUAAAGAGCGUGUAGGCGGCCAUGCAGGUCAGCUGUGAAAACUCGAGGCUCAACCUCGAGACGUCGGUUGAAACCGUAUGGCUAGAGUCCGGAAGAGGAGAGUGGAAUUCCCGGUGUAGCGGUGAAAUGCGUAGAGAUCGGGAGGAACACCCGUGGCGAAGGCGGCCAUCUGGACAAGCACUGACGCUGAGGCACGAAAGCGUGGGGAGCAAACAGG